GCGACCACGGUAGGGUCAGCGACUGGGGUGAAGUCGUAACAAGGUAGCCGUAGGGGAACCUGCGGCUGGAUCACCUCCUUUCUAAGG
rnacentral:rRNA from 1 species